AGCCCGGUGGGGUAGUGGUCAGGGGUUAAACCCCCACAAAAUCCUGCGGGCCUUUGGAGCCCGCGACGGCGGAAGGGAAAAAUCCUGCCGAAUUCGAAUGUCGACAGGCCGACCGAAAUUCCGCCCCGGGCUACCA
rnacentral:tRNA from 1 species